UGGGGAAUUUUGGACAAUGGGCGAAAGCCUGAUCCAGCAAUGCCGCGUGUGUGAAGAAGGCCUUCGGGUUGUAAAGCACUUUUGUCCGGAAAGAAAUCCUCUGGGUUAAUACCUCGGGGGGAUGACGGUACGGGAAGAAUAAGCACCGGCUAACUACGUGCCAGCAGCCGCGGUAAUACGUAGGGUGCGAGCGUUAAUCAGAAUUACUGGGCGUAAAGGGUGCGCAGGCGGUCUUGCAAGUCAGAUGUGAAAGCCCCGGGCUUAACGUGGUACUUGCGUUUGAAGCUACAAAGUCAGAGUGCAGCAGAGGGGAGUGGAAUUCCAUGUUUAGCAGUGAAAUGCGUAGAGAUGUGGAAGCACACCGAUGGCGAAGGCAGCUACCUGGGUUGACACUGACGCUCAUGCACGAAAGC
rnacentral:rRNA from 1 species